AGCGGCGGACGGGUGAGUAAUGCUUGGGAACUUGCCUUUGCGAGGGGGAUAACAGUUGGAAACGACUGCUAAUACCGCAUAAUGUCUUCGGACCAAACGGGGCUUCGGCUCCGGCGCAAAGAGAGGCCCAAGUGAGAUUAGCUAGUUGGUGAGGUAAAGGCUCACCAAGGCAACGAUCUCUAGCUGUUCUGAGAGGAAGAUCAGCCACACUGGGACUGAGACACGGCCCAGACUCCUACGGGAGGCAGCAGUGGGGAAUAUUGCACAAUGGGGGAAACCCUGAUGCAGCCAUGCCGCGUGUGUGAAGAAGGCCUUCGGGUUGUAAAGCACUUUCAGUUGUGAGGAAAAGUUAGUAGUUAAUACCUGCUAGCCGUGACGUUAACAACAGAAGAAGCACCGGCUAACUCCGUGCCAGCAGCCGCGGUAAUACGGAGGGUGCGAGCGUUAAUCGGAAUUACUGGGCGUAAAGCGCGCG
rnacentral:rRNA from 1 species